UAAGGGCGCACGGUGGAUGCCUUGGCACUAGAAGCCGAUGAAGGACGUUACUAACGACGAUAUGCUUUGGGGAGCUGUAAGUAAGCUUUGAUCCAGAGAUUUCCGAAUGGGGAAACCCAGCAUGAGUUAUGUCAUGUUAUCGAUAUGUGAAUACAUAGCAUAUCAGAAGGCACACCCGGAGAACUGAAACAUCUUAGUACCCGGAGGAAGAGAAAGAAAAUUCGAUUCCCUUAGUAGCGGCGAGCGAAACGGGAAGAGCCCAAACCAACAAGCUUGCUUGUUGGGGUUGUAGGACACUCUAUACGGAGUUACAAAGGACGACAUUAGACGAAUCAUCUGGAAAGAUGAAUCAAAGAAGGUAAUAAUCCUGUAGUCGAAAAUGUUGUCUCUCUUGAGUGGAUCCUGAGUACGACGGAGCACGUGAAAUUCCGUCGGAAUCUGGGAGGACCAUCUCCUAAGGCUAAAUACUCUCUAGUGACCGAUAGUGAACCAGUACCGUGAGGGAAAGGUGAAAAGCACCCCGGAAGGGGAGUGAAAUAGAACCUGAAACCGUGUGCUUACAAGUAGUCAGAGCCCGUUAAUGGGUGAUGGCGUGCCUUUUGUAGAAUGAACCGGCGAGUUACGAUUUGAUGCAAGGUUAAGCAGUAAAUGUGGAGCCGUAGCGAAAGCGAGUCUGAAUAGGGCGUUUAGUAUUUGGUCGUAGACCCGAAACCAGGUGAUCUACCCUUGGUCAGGUUGAAGUUCAGGUAACACUGAAUGGAGGACCGAACCGACUUACGUUGAAAAGUGAGCGGAUGAACUGAGGGUAGCGGAGAAAUUCCAAUCGAACCUGGAGAUAGCUGGUUCUCUCCGAAAUAGCUUUAGGGCUAGCCUCAAGUGAUGAUUAUU
rnacentral:rRNA from 1 species